AAUGGCCUUCUCCUGAAAGCCCACUGCAGUGGGAAAGUCUUGUUAUUAUCUCGCUUGUUUAUUAAGAAGAGACAGCAGGGGUCACCACAUGAAAGAAGCCAUUUUCUCUUCAGCGGCUCUCUUUUCUUUUGCCAGCGCCUCUGUUUCCCCUCCCGAAGCGGCGGCGAAGCGGCAGCCCCCCAAAUGGCCUGGCCAGAUGCGGCAGGUCUGCUGCUCAGCGCCGCGACUGGAGGAGGCUCCGUGCGCCAGCAGCAGCAGCGCCCGCCCCGCUGCGCCUCCCGAGCAGCCGCAGCCUUGCAGCCCGGACAGCAGCCGCCGCAGCAGCCGCCGCAGCCGACGGCAUGAGGCGCGAUCCGACCCCCGGCUUCUCCAUGCUGCUCUUCGGGGUGUCUCUCGCCUGCUACUCCCCCAGCCUCAAAUCGGUGCAGGACCAGGCGUACACCGCGGCCGUGGUGGUGGAGGGCAAGGUGCAGGCGCUGCCCCCCCCGCCCGGCAGCGGCAAUGGCACCCGCGAGCCCCCUGCCUCCGCUGGGGGGGUCCUGGUGAAAGUCUUGGACCUGUGGCCCCGCAACAGCGGGGGGCUGCAGCGCGAGCAACUGAUCAGCGUGGGCAGUGCGGGCUCCCCGGCGCCCUGCUUCAAAGUGAAGAGGAACCACCGCUACAUCUUCUUCCUGGAGCCCACCGAGCAGCCCCUGGUCUUCAGGACAUCCUUCGCCCCCCUGGACACCAGCGGCAAGAACCUCAAGAAGGAUGUGGGCAGGAUCCUGUGCGCAGACUGCGACAUGGCAUGGUUCCUGCCUGUCUCUGUCCCCGGUGUUCUGGAGGGGAAAGGUAGCUUGGCGGAUCUACAGCUGACCUCAGAGAUCCUAGCUCAGGCUGCUGUAUAAUUAGUCAGGAGGCCACAUAUGGGACGUGCCAGAGCAGACGAGGGAUGAAGGCGAGCGAGGAAGAGGGUGAACUCUCCACAGAACUGAAGAAGAUCCAAAGGCAGUGGACAAGGGUCAGGGAGAAAAUAGGCCUGAAACAUUGUUGUUCAGAGGCUGUUAGUCACCUGUUAGAUUGACGGGGAAAGGAAGGCAGGAUCAUUUCCAGAUGCAUGGGGUUGGAUUUUUUUCUCCUUGUGCUAUAUUGUUGUAUUGCCUUUGUUAUCCAUUUUGAUCCUUCUCUUCUGAAAAUGUUCACCCCACUCUGUACUGUAUACAAUGGCUGCAUGUGCU